rnacentral:rRNA from 1 species
UACGGAGGGGGCUAGCGUUGUUCGGAAUUACUGGGCGUAAAGCGCACGUAGGCGGCUUCGCAAGUCAGAGGUGAAAGCCCGGGGCUCAACUCCGGAACUGCCUUUGAGACUGCGUCGCUUGAUCACGGGAGAGGUGAGUGGAAUUCCGAGUGUAGAGGUGAAAUUCGUAGAUAUUCGGAAGAACACCAGUGGCGAAGGCGGCUCACUGGACCGGUAUUGACGCUGAGGUGCGAAAGCGUGGGGAGCAAACAGG